GACGAACGCUGGCGGCGUGGAUUAGGCAUGCAAGUCGAACGGUAUCAUCCUUUCGGGGGUGAGAGAGUGGCGAACUGGUGAGUAACACGUAGGUUAUCUACCCUCAAGACGGGGACAACCCAGGGAAACUUGGGCUAAUACCGGAUGUGAGCAACUUUUAGUUGUUUGAAAGGUGGCGUAAGCUGUCGCUUGGGGAUGAGCCUGCGUCCUAUUAGUUAGUUGGUGAGGUAACGGCUCACCUAGGCAAUGAUAGGUAGGCGGCCUUAACGGGUGGUCGCCCACACUGGGAUUGAGAUACGGCCCAGACUCCUACGGGAGGCAGCAGUCGAGAAUAGUCUACAAUGGUCGGAAGACUGAUAGUGCGACGCCGCGUGAACGAUGAAUCCCUUCGGGGUGUAAAGUUCUUUUAUAUGUGAGCAGUGCUUCUUAUAUUAACAGUAUGGGGAGAGAGAUAUUAGCAUAUAGAAUAAGACAACGGCUAACUCCGUGCCAGCAGCCGACGGUAAAUACG
rnacentral:rRNA from 1 species